UCCCUGCAGCUCCGGAGCGCUUGGCAGCUGCCCCAGUCGUGCCCGCACCUGGGAGGCCUCUGCGUUCACGCGACUUGCAGCUGUGAGAGCUUUCAAACACCUUUGAGCGGGCAGGAGCGGAUCUGUCCUUGAAGGCAGCUUUCUUCGCUGGCUGUCCCGGUUCUUGUGUGGGAGACAAGGUCACCAUCAGAAUCCAAGUCGAAUGCUUCCUUGUGAUGGGGCCUGACUGGCUUUAUGCCACAAGUGCUGUACUCCAACUGACAUGCUCUCCUGGCGAACCUGGCAGCUGCUUGCUCCCUCAACCUUCCCAUCAGGAUUUUUUGAAAGCAAGUAAUGGUUAGGUAAUGGUUAGUUGUUGAAGAUACAGCUCAAGUGGAGAAAAAAAAAGACCAUCUCUUCUUGAACACGACUUACCAUCCUAAGGUCAACGCCAGAGAUGCUUUCCCUUCAUGUAACUAGUCACUAGGUAAAGGAGGAGCAGAGCAUUCAGCACACAACUGCAUAAGCAGCCCAGCACCCUCUACAAGGUACUGACAGAAGGCCUGAAAAUUAGUAUAUCCAAGCUACACCCCCAGUAGAAAUAAAAAUAAUUUUUCAGUUAAUUGGACCUUAAUG
rnacentral:lncRNA from 1 species